AACGAACGCUGGCGGCAUGCCUAACACAUGCAAGUCGAACGAGACCUUCGGGUCUAGUGGCGCACGGGUGCGUAACGCGUGGGAACCUGCCCUUAGGUUCGGAAUAACUCCCCGAAAGGGGUGCUAAUACCGGAUAAUGUCUUCGGACCAAAGAUUUAUCGCCUAUGGAUGGGCCCGCGUUGGAUUAGCUAGUUGGUAGGGUAAAAGCCUACCAAGGCGACGAUCCAUAGCUGGUCUGAGAGGAUGAUCAGCCACACUGGGACUGAGACACGGCCCAGACUCCUACGGGAAGCAGCAGUGGGGAAUAUUGGACAAUGGGCGAAAGCCUGAUCCAGCAAUGCCGCGUGAGUGAUGAAGGCCUUAGGGUUGUAAAGCUCUUUUACCCGGGAUGAUAAUGACAGUACCGGGAGAAUAAGCUCCGGCUAACUCCGUG
rnacentral:rRNA from 1 species